rnacentral:tRNA from 1 species
GCCCGGGUAGCCCAGCUGGCAGCGGCGACGCGCUCAGAUCGCGUUCAGUGCAGGUUCGAAUCCUGUCCCGGGUACC